rnacentral:rRNA from 1 species
UACAGAGGGUGCAAGCGUUAAUCGGAAUUACUGGGCGUAAAGCGUGCGUAGAUGGUCAUGUAAGUCGGGUGUGAAAGCCCCGGGCUCAACCUGGGAAUUGCAUUCGAGACUGCAUGGCUAGGGUGCGGAAGAGGGAAGCGGAAUUUCCGGUGUAGCGGUGAAAUGCGUAGAUAUCGGAAGGAACAUCAGUGGCGAAAGCGGCUUCCUGGUCCAGCACCGACGUUCAGGCACGAAAGCGUGGGGAGCAAACAGG